ensembl:lncRNA novel transcript
CGUCCGGGGCUGCCUCGGAGUCCGGGCUGGUGGGGCUGCGCAGAGGGCGAGAGGGGGGUGCUGCGCCGGGAAGCGGCCGCGCAGGCUCGAGUGGCGCGCGCCGCAGCGUCUUCCCCAGCUCUAAGCUCCCGAAGCUGCGCCGCAGCUCCUCCGAGCUUCAAGCUGCGGAAGACGCUGCGGCGCACGCCCUUCGCCGGGUACCCCGCUUGGGCCUCGCGCUCGGGCCUGGGUGAAUCGGCGCUCACACGGCGCCUAUGCUCAGCUCUGCGCAGGCGGAACAUCUGCCGAGCCGGCGCCGGAGCGGUAGGGCACGCUGAGGGGAUGCUCCACCGUGGCAUGCGAACGCGGACUGUGUCAGGCAUGAGAACGCGGGAGCCCUGCGGCUGAGGAAAGCAGACGUGCGGGGAGCCAAGCCCAGACUCUCAAGAGGGUAGAAAUGGCUACUAGGUAUAAUCAUGCUAAUUAUUUUUCUUUCUACUAAAUCUGCAGUAGGUGAAUUAUUUCAACAGCCAGAGUAUCAGAACCACAGAGCCCAUUCGAGAUUUUUAAAAAUCAGUAUUACCGUGUUCAAAGUUGUUUCUCUAAUUGUGACACCUUUUCGCCUUAUAACCGUAGCCUCACUUUAACACCUGGGAAGUUGGCAUUCUAUGAAAAAGAAAAAUCACAUUUGUUUAGAGGGAAGGUGGGGAGAGGUUGUCUCAAAGAGGGAAAGUCUGGAAAAUAAAGAUAUUUGGCUGUUCGCCCUCCCCUAAG